GCCUGCCCAGUGACAACAGUUAAACGGCCGCGGUAUCCUGACCGUGCAAAGGUAGCAUAAUCAUUUGUUCUCUAAAUAAGGACUUGUAUGAACGGCAACACGAGGGCUUAACUGUCUCUUUCUUCCAAUCAGUGAAAUUGACCUUCCCGUGAAGAGGCGGGAAUACCUAAAUAAGACGAGAAGACCCUAUGGAGCUUUAAUUAACUCAUCUAAUAGAACAAUACCUAAUCACCAAGAGACAACAAUACUUCUAACUAGGUGAGCAAUUUCAGUUGGGGUGACUUCGGAGAACAAGAAAUCCUCCGAGCGAUUUAUAAAGAUUAGACUCACAAGUCAAAUCACACUAUCAUUUAUUGAUCCAAAGCUCUUGAUCAACGGAACAAGUUACCCUAGGGAUAACAGCGCAAUCCUAUUCUAGAGUCCAUAUCGACAAUAGGG
rnacentral:rRNA from 1 species